AAGAGAGUCAUAGGGGUUAUGGAGUUGGCUUGAAACCAAUUUUAGGGGGUUCGAUUCCUCCCUUUCUUG
rnacentral:tRNA from 1 species